AUGAAUUUGGUGCUUGCACCAAAUGAAACUAGAUACAAGCGAGCGGCGGACGGGUGAGUAACACGUGGGUAACCUGCCCAAGAGACUGGGAUAACACCUGGAAACAGAUGCUAAUACCGGAUAACAACACUAGACGCAUGUCUAGAGUUUAAAAGAUGGUUCUGCUAUCACUCUUGGAUGGACCUGCGGUGCAUUAGCUAGUUGGUAAGGUAACGGCUUACCAAGGCAAUGAUGCAUAGCCGAGUUGAGAGACUGAUCGGCCACAUUGGGACUGAGACACGGCCCAAACUCCUACGGGGGGCAGCAGUAGGGAAGCUUCCACAAUGGACGCAAGUCUGAUGGAGCAACGCCGCGUGAGUGAAGAAGGGUUUCGGCUCGUAAAGCUCUGUUGGUAGUGAAGAAAGAUAGAGGUAGUAACUGGCCUUUAUUUGACGGUAAUUACUUAGAAAGUCACGGCUAACUACGUGCCAGCAGCCGCGGUAAUACGUAGGUGGCAAGCGUUGUCCGGAUUUAUUGGGCGUAAAGCGAGUGCAGGCGGUUCAAUAAGUCUGAUGUGAAAGCCUUCGGCUCAACCGGAGAAUUGCAUCAGAAACUGUUGAACUUGAGUGCAGAAGAGGAGAGUGGAACUCCAUGUGUAGCGGUGGAAUGCGUAGAUAUAUGGAAGAACACCAGUGGCGAAGGCGGCUCUCUGGUCUGCAAC
rnacentral:rRNA from 1 species